rnacentral:rRNA from 1 species
CCUACGGGAGGCAGCAGUGGGGAAUAUUGGACAAUGGGGGCAACCCUGAUCCAGCCAUGCCGCGUGUGUGAAGAAGGCCCUCGGGUUGUAAAGCACUUUCAGUGAGGAAGAACGCCUGGUGGUUAAUACCCAUCAGGAAAGACAUCACUCACAGAAGAAGCACCGGCUAACUCCGUGCCAGCAGCCGCAGUAAUACGGAGGGUGCGAGCGUUAAUCGGAAUUACUGGGCGUAAAGCGCGCGUAGGUGGCUUGAUAAGCCGGUUGUGAAAGCCCCGGGCUCAACCUGGGAACGGCAUCCGGAACUGUCAAGCUAGAGUGCAGGAGAGGAAGGUAGAAUUCCCGGUGUAGCGGUGAAAUGCGUAGAGGUCGGGAGGAAUACCAGUGGCGAAGGCGGCCUUCUGGACUGACACUGACACUGAGGUGCGAAAGCGUGGGUAGCAAACAGGAUUAGAUACCCUUGUAGUC